rnacentral:tRNA from 2 species
GGCCGUGUGGCUCAAUGGCAGAGCGUCUGACUACGAUUCUUACGGAAUCAGAAGGUCGCAGGUUCGACCCCUGUCUCGGUCA